rnacentral:lncRNA from 1 species
CCUCAGUUCUCCCUCUGGCCACCUCCUUCCCAAAUAGAUCACUUUGGAAAAACUAGCAGUUAUUCAAAACAAAAUAUGUUGGCAUAUCUUGGAGCCAAAUGAAUUGACAGGGCACAAUAAUAUGAGCCAACCUUGAACUGAUAAAUUUGUCCUGUAAAAAAUGAAGCUUGAGCAGCUCUGUUGAUCCUUUAAAAUGUUAAUGGUAAUAUGCUUCUUUAUUAUUGAGAUAUUUAUGACUAAUGGUGUGAUGUUAUUUAUAUUCACAACAUUCAUUAAUUUUAGCUGUUUUUCAUCAUUAGGUAAAAUAAUUCAACAGAAACUUCAAUAUUUCUUAAGAACAACGUAUGAAGCAACACCAGAGUGCCACCAAUCACAGAAGGCCCCUUCCUCAGACUCAAUUCUGUCAAAACCAAGCUCUCCAAAGAAGACUUCCUCUGGCCAGCAAUGAGGAUAGACAUAGUCUUCAGCAAAUCUGCUACCAAGAAGGCAGCAAUUUACUCCUCAAGAAAAGAAGUUUAUACAAGGGUAUGAACUACAAGAAGGAAGGGAUGAUGGAGGAUACCUGUCUGUCACAACUGUGUCACAUUUUACAAUAAAGAUGCCUUUGAAUAUGAAAGCCUCGGAUCUACCAGCUUUGUGACCUCAGAAACGUUUUUUUUUUUUUUUUUUUUUUUUUUACCUCUCUGGGAUCUAUUUUCCUUUUAUGAAAAUUAUACACAAUAACAACUAGUUAAUAAGGUUGUUACAUCUAAAAUAUAACACAUGUGAAUGUGCCUCAUAAACAUUAAUUUCAGUUAAUAUUAGUAGGCCACCAAGGCCUCCUCUUUUCUUUGCAAUUUCAUCUACGCUAAUUGUUCUGUACCUAUACUUUAAUUGUAUAUGAAUCUCUACAAUAACUAGCUUCAACUGAUAUCUGAGAAGACUUAAAAACCAUAAGAGACUGUCUGCAAUUCAUAUAAAAAUAUGAAGAACUAAUUGUAAGGUACAGGACUUUAUCUUGAAAACUCUCCAGAGUGAUUCUGGGGAAGUGGGAUAAGUCCUACCUCUCUCUUCCUAUAGUUCCCUACUGUGGCAAAGUUCAAUUACUAGUUGCUAAAAAUUCAUGCUUCCAUUGUGGGAGGUAGAGUUGUUGCUAAAUUGCACUGCCUACCCUGGGAUUGCCAUUUCCAGUCACCCCUUGCAUCUAGGUGGAGCUGUUUGUCUAAGCUGUGACCAAUGGAAUGUGAGAGAUUCACUAGGCCAGGACCAAGGAAACUUCCCAAAGGAUUCUCCAAUCUCUCUUUUCCCUUUUGCAGCUGGAUGCUGAUUUUCAGGAUGACUUUGAGAAGACAUUGUUGCAAAUAGCAGUCUCUGUGAUCCCAAGCCAUGACUAUACAGAACACAGAAUUUCUACCACCAAUUGGACUUUUACGUUCAACAAGAAAUAUAUUUAUUUGCCUCGUUAAGCCAAAGAUUACUGAAC